rnacentral:rRNA from 1 species
AGAUUGAACGCUGGCGGAAUGCUUUACACAUGCAAGUCGAACGGCAGCACGGGGGCAACCCUGGUGGCGAGUGGCGAACGGGUGAGUAAUACAUCGGAACGUGCCCAGUCGUGGGGGAUAACGUAGCGAAAGCUACGCUAAUACCGCAUACGAUCUACGGAUGAAAGCGGGGGAUCGCAAGACCUCGCGCGAUUGGAGCGGCCGAUGGCAGAUUAGGUAGUUGGUGGGGUAAAGGCUCACCAAGCCGACGAUCUGUAGCUGGUCUGAGAGGACGACCAGCCACACUGGGACUGAGACACGGCCCAGACUCCUACGGGAGCAGCAGUGGGAAUUUGGACAAUGGGCGCAAGCCUGAUCCAGCCAUUCCGCGUGCAGGAUGAAGGCCCUCGGGUUGUAAACUGCUUUUGUACGGAACGAAACGCGCUGUGCUAACACCACGCGUAAUGACGGUAACCGUAAGAAUAAGCACCGGCUAACUACGUGCUAGCAG